UUUCUUCUUCUCAAUAAAAUCAAAAAUGAAACGGACCCAACGAUCACCACCAUCACAAUCUUCGUCGUCGCCACCUUCACUUCAGCACCACCUCCACCAAUCUAACCACCAGUUAUAGCAUCACCUCUUACUUCCACCAAAUCCACCACCACAACCUCUUAAACAAACGAUGUGGAAUUUAAAUUCUAAAAGCUAAUCUAGACAUUCAGAUUUAUCUCAGUUUCAACUGGAUUUGGCUUGAUGUACCUAAAAUCGAUGAUUACAGUUACUUCUUAAUGAUUUGUCCAGAUCGAUUGGGAAGAGACGAUGAGAAUCGUCAUCAAUUUAUUGGAUCUGAAGAUCGAAUCAUUCGAAACGUAUAAAAAUUGGUUAUAUUCUUUCCCUUGCUCAAGUUUCUGUUGGUGGUGGUGGUAUUGUAACUAGUAGUGAUGCAGAUGGAAAGGGGUUAGACUUAGAACAAUGGAAUUGAUGGAUAUUAUGGUGGUUCUUGUUGGAAUCGUAACAUUUGGCGAUUGAAUGGUUCAGUUUGUUUGUUGUGGUGGUGUUGUUGGUUGGGAGAUGGUGGUGGUGGUGAUAUCUUCUGGGUUACACUAAGAUCCAAGGAUAAGUUCCAAGGAGUCUUAGGUGGGAUGCUUGUGGAGAUUUCACGAUGAGCUUCGUCUCUUAAGUUGCCAAUGUUUUUGAAAGUCGCCGGUGGUGGCGGCGGCGACGGCGGUGACGGCGGUGUGAUGGUGGUGACGGUGGCGGCUGUGGUGGUAUUUCGGUGGUGAUGGUAGCGGUUGGUAGCCGGUGGUGGUGGAUAUGUGGUGGUGCUAGUGGUGGUGGAAUGGUGGUGGCGACAGCGGUCAAAUGAUAAAAAAAAAUUGUUGUAUUUUGAAAAAAAGAAAAAUAUUAUAUGAGUGAGGGUAUUAAUGUAAUCUAUUUUUUUAAUGGAUGAUGUUUUUAAGUGAUAGGGGUAUAUUUAUUGUUGUAUAAGGGUAUAUUUGUUGGGUGUCAAAAUUAGGGGUAUAUUUUGUAUUUAAUAAAGACUCGCAGUUUCUAUUUGCUUGAGUAUAGAUUAAAUCAAGAGAUCGAGAUAUUAACUCCU